rnacentral:lncRNA from 1 species
AAUUCCCUUGUAGUGAGCUUGCUUCUCUCCACCCACUUCUUACCAAGAACUCCUUAACUUGAGGGGUGAACAACUUAGUGCUUGAUCCUCCAGGGUUACCUGCAAAGUGAUUCGAUUAUCCAUUGAGCGAAAGAGCAAAUCACCUACUUGAGGCGGUGGAAAGCGUAUGGAAGUUAUAUUAGAGCUUCAGCAAAGUGCACAGCUGCAUAAUGCAGAAGCCUGAAUUCAGAUUGACAGGCAAAUAAGCCGGCUUGUGGAAGGGGCCUCUGGGUAGCAGCUCUGGGCUGUUGGGUGUUGGACAACUCUAGGCAAAACUGAAAAGGAACAGGGGCAGAAAAUAGCACACUCUUACUCUACGCAACUGUUGUUUUCUCAUGGUAUUGAACUGGGGACCUUGUGCUUGCAAAGCAGGUGACAGAACCACUGAGCUAAAUCCCCUGCCCUGAAUGACAUUUUUGAUGCAAGUACCACAUUGGAAUCUAUCUUUAACUGAUAAGAUUACCAUGCUCCAGACCUCUGAGCUGCUUCUGCUUCUGUUCAUUUCUACUACUGCACUCUAAGUGAAAGUAUAAGUAUGUUGUUCCUGGACCAUACCUAGGCCGCUAAAUUUUCUCCCUAUUUCUCCAAAGCCACCCCAUUCUUACUCUUUCAGCCGCGUCCUAUCAAGCAGCCAGAAUAAUGUCACAAAUAAGGUAAAUCAAGUCACAUCCCUACCUGUUUAUAACUGUUCAAUAAUGCAUAGUGAACACUAUCAUUAGAAUUUUCCUUCCCCAGUUCAUUUCUUCCUUCCUCUUUUUCUUUCUAAAA